GAUGAACGCUGACAGAAUGCUUAACACAUGCAAGUCAACUGUGGCGGACGGGUGAGUAACGCGUAAAGAACUUGCCUCACGGAUAGGGACAACAUUUGGAAACGAAUGCUAAUACCUGAUACUGUGAGAGAGCUUUGCGUCCCAUUAGCUAGUUGGAGAGGUAACGGCUCACCAAGGCGAGGAUGGGUAGCCGGCCUGAGAGGGUGAUCGGCCACAAGUGGAUUGGGACACGGCCCUUACGCCUACGGGAGGAAGCAGUGGGGAAUAUGGGACAAUGGACCAAAGGCUGAUCCAGCAAUUCUGUGUGCACGAUGAAUUUUUCGGAAGGUAAAGUGCUUUCAGUUGGGAAGCGGUACCAACAGAAGAAGUGACGGCUAAAUACGUGCCAGCAGCCGCGGUAAUUC
rnacentral:rRNA from 1 species